AAUUUGUUUGUAUUGUCUGGAAAAAAUUUGUAAGGUUUAAGUUAACUUAUCCUUCAUUAAUACUCCUAUUUCUGUAAGAGAUGGUAGGACAAUUAACAGAAGAUUGUUUGUUAAAUCAGUUAUCACUAGAUGUCAUCUGUUGUGUGAUUGAGGUUAGUUUAGGCCGUUUAUCAUGAAUCACAAAUUUAGACCUGUCUCAUUAUUUCUAAUUCAAUAGCUGAUGGAACAGAGCAUCAAAAUAGUAAGCACUUGAUAUUUAGCUGUUAUUAAAUUAAAUGGCAGAAUAGCACUAGUGAAAUAUGGAAGAUCACAUCCUGACAUUUUAUUUGACAGAAAACUGUUCCCUGUUAAAAACUGAUGUCAAAGUCUCCAUGGAUUUGCGUGUGUGCACAGAUAGAUAAGGUAAAGCAGAAAACACUGCGAUUUGGGGAUGUUGGAGCUGUCUUUGCAUCUUAAAAGUGAAGCUGAAGCCAUCAGUAGCAUUACAAGUUUUAACGUCAUUGAUGCUGACAUUCCUAAUGGCCACAUGCCUCCUCAGAUAUCUGUCCAAAAGGGAAACAUGCAGGUGGGCCUGGGGUGGAAGCUUGCCCAGGAAGGCUCUGCAGCCAAAGCAGAUUGAGUUGCCUGAACCCAUGGGAAUGGCACAACCCAAAAUGAGGGCAUAAAUACUGCCUGAAAUGCUCAAGAGGAGACGCACAGGUGCUGUACAUCCUUCAUUGGUAGCUUAUUCAUGUGUGGUUGCGCUAAUGCCUGUCUGGGACAGGAACUGCUUGUUGGUGAUUUUUAAUCCAUUGUGCACAGCCACUCAGGAAAGUAAUGGUUCUCUUUUCUCAGGAAAGAACCCAACACACAAUGUGUGGCAGAAGGACAUCAGGGGAGGCUCACAGCAGGGAGAUGGGAGAGGGACACUUGGAACCCAGAGGGGUAAUCUAGUGAAGGUGGCUUCACAACUCUUUGUAUCUGGAGUAGCUCAUGUCAGCAGGUGUGACAGGUCCACAACUGCAGCCUGGUGCUGUCCCGCAUGUGUUCAACAUCCCCACUUAAAUUUUCACUCCAGCACAAAACCAAAGGCUGCAGAGGAGCUGACAGGGAUGGGAUGUAAAAGUAAUGAUACGUAUUGUUUCCUGUGGUAGAAGGUGGCUUUCCUGGUUUACAUGAAAAACUCUGAGGAUUCGCUCAGCAGUAUUAGUGUAAGCAAUAUUUCUUGCAGCAAAAUAUCUGUAAGAGCAGCAACAGCGGUAUUUAACAGCGGUAUUUCUCAAUCCCUUGUAACCUAACACACAUUGAACAUUUUUUUUGGAAAAAGGACCUCUCUGGACAUUGCUACUGUAAUGCACCAGCGAUAACAUAAUGAC